rnacentral:rRNA from 1 species
UACGAAGGGGGCUAGCGUUGUUCGGAAUUACUGGGCGUAAAGCGCACGUAGGCGGCUUUGCAAGUCGGGUGUGAAAUCCCCGGGCUCAACCUGGGAACUGCAUUCGAAACUGCACUGCUGGAGUAUGGGAGAGGGAAGCGGAAUUUACGGUGUAGCGGUGAAAUGCGUAGAUAUCGUAAGGAAGACCAGUGGCGAAGGCGGGUCUCUGGACAGUUCCUGACGCUGAGGCACGAAGGCCAGGGGAGCAAACGGG